rnacentral:rRNA from 1 species
UGCCAGCAGCCGCGGUAAUACGGAGGGGGUUAGCGUUGUUCGGAAUUACUGGGCGUAAAGCGCACGUAGGCGGAUUAGUAAGUUAGAGGUGAAAUCCCAGGGCUCAACCCUGGAACUGCCUUUAAUACUGCUAGUCUUGAGUUCGAGAGGGGUAAGUGGAAUUCCAAGUGUAGAGGUGAAGUUCGUAGAUAUUUGGAGGAACACCAGUGGCGAAGGCGGCUCACUGGCUCGAUACUGACGCUGAGGUACGAAAGUGUGGGGAGCGAACAGGAUUAGAUA